CCCACCCGAUCCACUCCCACCGCACCAAACUCUCUCUCUCUCUCUCGUGUGCAUCCCUCAAAAAAAACUCUCUCUCGUGAACCUCACCCCCACCCUCGGUCCAGUUCCUCUCCCCCACUAUCUCCGCGCCGCCGCCGCCACCCACGUCGGCCGGUUCCGGUGAGCUCCGGCCGCGCGCAACAUGCCCCCAAGCUCCGCCCCUCUCUCCCCCCUUCCAGAUCCGUGCCUCAAGGGAUGCACCCUUGCCCGCCGCUAGGGUUUCGGGCGCCUCUCGUGUUCUUGCCAGAAUCCACCACAAUCGGCGAUGGCGAGGCCGGAGCUUGCGGGAUCCGUCUGCGGUGUUGCCCAGGUCACCAUGGUGCAGAGACGACAAUGAUGGCAAGAGGGCACAGACCUUGCCCUGAUCGAGGAGGAGGAGGGGCGCACCUAGAUGCCAGCCCUGCUCUGCUCGAUGAGGAGGGGUGGGAGGGGUCUACUCCUAGGGCGACCAAGAGGUCCUGCUCGAGCUCAAGCAUGGCCAUGAUGACCCACCACGGCAGGAAACAGGCAUUGGUUGAUUGGUCGAUGCGCCAUGGCCGUGGGUUGUCCUAGUGCAUGCGUUUGCUGAAGGUGGUGAUGCAUAUGCCUGAAGGUGGUGAUGCAUAUGCCUGAAGGUGGUGAUGCAUAUGCCUGAAGGUGGUGAUGCAUAUGCCUGAAGGUGGUGAGCAGAGCAACUUCUGCUGUAAGAAUUUUCUGAGGAUGCUUUUGAGUGUAGAAUAACAAAAAAUAUGUACGGAGUAAUUAUUUUAGCAUUACUAGAACUGUUAAUUCGCACUCCCUCUACAGGGAGUAUUAUUUAUUUCUUUUGGAAGAUGACCGCUAGUUCUAAGUGAGUGAUUUUUUUGAAUUUUUCGCCCAUUCUGAAGAUUGUGCACUAAUGAAUAAACAAUGUGCUCCCUUUAAACAUUGUAGAGUAAUUAAUAUGCAGCCAGAGUCAAGUAUGGUAUCACAAUCUUUAGUAAAGCAUUUGAAUUAAAGCAAGUAGAUAUUGAUCUUUGUGAUCGAAGUGUGUCUGUUUAAUACCUCUAAACUCAACUAUUUCUUUUAGAAUUAUGGUACUUCUUAGUGUAGCAUUGUAGCUUUAUUUUUACACGAUCAGAUUACCUUUGGUAUAUGCAGCAUGCAGUCAAACUAUGCUAUAUAUCUACAGUAGUAAAUGUAUCAUCUUAAGAGUGUACUGAAGCUAUAUUAUUUCGUAGCUCAAAUUUAGGCUUUCUCCAUGGUUAAUAUAAGUUAUGUAAAGCAAUGUUUGCCUGGAUGUGUAACUGUAAAGACAUUCUUAUUAUAUAUUCAAUGUACAGCGACGGUGCUGCUGCACUUGUGCUAGUCAGUGAAGCUAAGAACCUUGGCCUUCAAGUUCUUGCAAGAACCAAAGGUUAUGCUGAUGCUGCUCAGGGGUGAUCGACGUGGGCUACUGCGGCCUGGUGGGCACCGUGCUCUUCAACCACUCGGAGGCGGACUUCAUCGUGAAGCCCGGCGACCGUGCCACACAGAUGAUCAUCCAGGUCAUUGCGACGCCGGAGGUCACCGAGGUGGAGGACCUCGACGCUACCGUCCGGCGGGAGGGAGUGCUGGGAUCUACCGAUGUUUGAACUUCGAGCCUUGGUAGAUACAUCUAGAGAAGCGGUCUAAUUGUUUGCAUCUAAUGUUAAAUGGGAUCUCGAGAUCUCGAGUUGAGAUGUUCAAUGUUGUAUCCAUGAAUGCUGCAAGUGCUAAGAUGGUUCUGUGAACUUAGUUUAUUUGCACUGGACGUGUCUUGAUUUCCAUCCAUGAAUACUGCAUCCGACUUUAAAAAAAAUCUAGUUAGUUA